GAUUAAGUUAUUAAGGGCGCAUGGUGGAUGCCUUGGCACUAGAAGCCGAUGAAGGACGUUACUAACGACGAUAUGCUUUGGGGAGCUGUAAGUAAGCUUUGAUCCAGAGAUUUCCGAAUGGGGAAACCCAGCAUGAGUUAUGUCAUGUUAUCGAUAUGUGAAUACAUAGCAUAUCAGAAGGCACACCCGGAGAACUGAAACAUCUUAGUACCCGGAGGAAGAGAAAGAAAAUUCGAUUCCCUUAGUAGCGGCGAGCGAAACGGGAAGAGCCCAAACCAACAAGCUUGCUUGUUGGGGUUGUAGGACACUCUAUACGGAGUUACAAAGGACGACAUUAGACGAAUCAUCUGGAAAGAUGAAUCAAAGAAGGUAAUAAUCCUGUAGUCGAAAAUGUUGUCUCUCUUGAGUGGAUCCUGAGUACGACGGAGCACGUGAAAUUCCGUCGGAAUCUGGGAGGACCAUCUCCUAAGGCUAAAUACUCUCUAGUGACCGAUAGUGAACCAGUACCGUGAGGGAAAGGUGAAAAGCACCCCGGAAGGGGAGUGAAAUAGAACCUGAAACCGUGUGCUUACAAGUAGUCAGAGCCCGUUAAUGGGUGAUGGCGUGCCUUUUGUAGAAUGAACCGGCGAGUUACGAUUUGAUGCAAGGUUAAGCAGUAAAUGUGGAGCCGUAGCGAAAGCGAGUCUGAAUAGGGCGUUUAGUAUUUGGUCGUAGACCCGAAACCAGGUGAUCUACCCUUGGUCAGGUUGAAGUUCAGGUAACACUGAAUGGAGGACCGAACCGACUUACGUUGAAAAGUGAGCGGAUGAACUGAGGGUAGCGGAGAAAUUCCAAUCGAACCUGGAGAUAGCUGGUUCUCUCCGAAAUAGCUUUAGGGCUAGCCUCAAGUGAUGAUUAUUGGAGGUAGAGCACUGUUUGGACGAGGGGCCCCUCUCGGGUUACCGAAUUCAGACAAACUCCGAAUGCCAAUUAAUUUAACUUGGGAGUCAGAACAUGGGUGAUAAGGUCCGUGUUCGAAAGGGAAACAGCCCAGACCACCAGCUAAGGUCCCAAAAUAUAUGUUAAGUGGAAAAGGAUGUGGCGUUGCCCAGACAACUAGGAUGUUGGCUUAGAAGCAGCCAUCAUUUAAAGAGUGCGUAAUAGCUCACUAGUCAAGUGACACUGCGCCGAAAAUGUACCGGGGCUAAACAUAUUACCGAAGCUGUGGAUUGUCCUUUGGACAAUGGUAGGAGAGCGUUCUAAGGGCGUUGAAGCAUGAUCGUAAGGACAUGUGGAGCGCUUAGAAGUGAGAAUGCCGGUGUGAGUAGCGAAAGACGGGUGAGAAUCCCGUCCACCGAUUGACUAAGGUUUCCAGAGGAAGGCUCGUCCGCUCUGGGUUAGUCGGGUCCUAAGCUGAGGCCGACAGGCGUAGGCGAUGGAUAACAGGUUGAUAUUCCUGUACCACCUAUAAUCGUUUUAAUCGAUGGGGGGGACGCAGUAGGAUAGGCGAAGCGUGCGAUUGGAUUGCACGUCUAAGCAGUAAGGCUGAGUAUUAGGCAAAUCCGGUACUCGUUAAGGCUGAGCUGUGAUGGGGAGAAGACAUUGUGUCUUCGAGUCGUUGAUUUCACACUGCCGAGAAAAGCCUCUAGAUAGAAAAUAGGUGCCCGUACCGCAAACCGACACAGGUAGUCAAGAUGAGAAUUCUAAGGUGAGCGAGCGAACUCUCGUUAAGGAACUCGGCAAAAAGACCCCGUAACUUCGGGAGAAGGGGUGCUCUUUAGGGUUAACGCCCAGAAGAGCCGCAGUGAAUAGGCCCAAGCGACUGUUUAUCAAAAACACAGGUCUCUGCUAAACCGUAAGGUGAUGUAUAGGGGCUGACGCCUGCCCGGUGCUGGAAGGUUAAGAGGAGUGGUUAGCUUCUGCGAAGCUACGAAUCGAAGCCCCAGUAAACGGCGGCCGUAACUAUAACGGUCCUAAGGUAGCGAAAUUCCUUGUCGGGUAAGUUCCGACCCGCACGAAAGGCGUAACGAUUUGGGCACUGUCUCAACGAGAGACUCGGUGAAAUCAUAGUACCUGUGAAGAUGCAGGUUACCCGCGACAGGACGGAAAGACCCCGUGGAGCUUUACUGUAGCCUGAUAUUGAAAUUCGGCACAGCUUGUACAGGAUAGGUAGGAGCCUUUGAAACGUGAGCGCUAGCUUACGUGGAGGCGCUGGUGGGAUACUACCCUAGCUGUGUUGGCUUUCUAACCCGCACCACUUAUCGUGGUGGGAGACAGUGUCAGGCGGGCAGUUUGACUGGGGCGGUCGCCUCCUAAAAGGUAACGGAGGCGCUCAAAGGUUCCCUCAGAAUGGUUGGAAAUCAUUCAUAGAGUGUAAAGGCAUAAGGGAGCUUGACUGCGAGACCUACAAGUCGAGCAGGGUCGAAAGACGGACUUAGUGAUCCGGUGGUUCCGCAUGGAAGGGCCAUCGCUCAACGGAUAAAAGCUACCCCGGGGAUAACAGGCUUAUCUCCCCCAAGAGUUCACAUCGACGGGGAGGUUUGGCACCUCGAUGUCGGCUCAUCGCAUCCUGGGGCUGUAGUCGGUCCCAAGGGUUGGGCUGUUCGCCCAUUAAAGCGGUACGCGAGCUGGGUUCAGAACGUCGUGAGACAGUUCGGUCCCUAUCCGUCGUGGGCGUAGGAAAUUUGAGAGGAGCUGUCCUUAGUACGAGAGGACCGGGAUGGACAUACCUCUGGUGUACCAGUUGUCGUGCCAACGGCAUAGCUGGGUAGCUAUGUGUGGACGGGAUAAGUGCUGAAAGCAUCUAAGCAUGAAGCCCCCCUCAAGAUGAGAUUUCCCAACUUCGGUUAUAAGAUCCCUCAAAGAUGAUGAGGUUAAUAGGUUCGAGGUGGAAGCAUGGUGACAUGUGGAGCUGACGAAUACUAAUCGAUCGAAGACUUAAUCAA
rnacentral:rRNA from 1 species